UACGGGAGGCAGCAGUGGGGAAUAUUGCACAAUGGGCGCAAGCCUGAUGCAGCCAUGCCGCGUGUAUGAAGAAGGCCUUCGGGUUGUAAAGUACUUUCAGUCGUGAGGAAGGUGUUAAGGUUAAUAACCUUAGCAAUUGACGUUAGCGACAGAAGAAGCACCGGCUAACUCCGUGCCAGCAGCCGCGGUAAUACGGAGGGUGCGAGCGUUAAUCGGAAUUACUGGGCGUAAAGGGCACGCAGGCGGUUAAUUAAGUUGGAUGUGAAAUCCCCGGGCUUAACCUGGGAAUGGCAUUCAAGACUGGUUAGCUAGAGUCUUGUAGAGGGGGUAGAAUUCCAUGUGUAGCGGUGAAAUGCGUAGAGAUGUGGAGGAAUACCGGUGGCGAAAGGCGGCCCCUGGACAAAGACUGACGCUCAUGUGCGAAAAGCGUGGGGAGCAAACAGGGAUUAGAUACC
rnacentral:rRNA from 1 species